CCAUCAAUCUCCCCAACGGGCAUUCCUUUUUCUGCCGAUUCACCGUGUCUGACGGUCACCUCAACAUCAACUUUCACCAUUAGGGAUACUUGGUUGAAGGACAAUGGCUGUGACACAGGGUUGCACUGCGAGACUUGCGUUGCCAACGGCAAUAUUCGACAUAGAUACCCGAAUUCGUUGUUCAUCCUCUCUUCUAAGACAUGCGCGAGGAGAAACACGUUGUAUUGCAAAUGACAGAAUUGUUAGUUGCUCUAGAAAAAUGACUCCAGAAUUUUGUCCUGAUACAUAUAAAGCAAUAGGAAAAGUAGGUGAAAGAUGGUCAUCUGAGUUAGGUUGGAUUGCGCGCCACAUGACCUUGCUCCAAGUCAAGGUGUGGAGGGAAAUUCCACAACCAAACAAAGUGGCGAUGCUAGACUCAAGGAUAAGUUCGAACGGAAUGAGCCUGAUAGAGAAAAAGAAGCCAAGAUAUUAGAUUCCAUUGACCGUCUGUUAAACAAGCAAUGGAAAGAUUAGAGGUGUCGGCUGCACAAAUAUUUCAUAAAAAAAGCGUGGACAAUCCAGAGGAUGUAAAAAAAAAAACACACACAAAUAGGUUCUGGUGCAGGCAGAUUAGGAUUCGUUAUGCAACUAUUGGUCGACUGAAAAGUAUAAGAAAAAAUCAGCAACCAAUGCUUUGAAUUAGCAUUUAUGGAGCUAAAUCAUUUGCUUCUCACGUGUUUGAAAAGUACAAGAUGAUAGAUUUGCAAACUCAAAUUGGCCAUUCAAGUGAUGCAGCUGAGGGAAAUAGCUCUGAAUAGCCCACAUUAAUGACGGAAAAAGAUAUAAUGAGUAAUGUCCUUGGCACAUGAUUGGUACAUAAUCGGAGCGGGCCAAGCACCAAGAGGGGGUCCGAGAAGGAGGAGAACAGAAAAUGGUUAUUUCUAUACUCAAAGUCAGGAACAAAUGCAACCUUCAAGACUCUAUAG